UUUGUUAGUUUUCAAUCACCAAAAUGAUAAGAAGAAAGAUAAAGGGAAAUAACUGCGUAACAUAAAACUAACAGAAACGCGCUAGUACUGUCACAUCCCGUCGCAUACGGUAUGCGCACAAACAAAGGUAUCCAACCUCUAUAAGGCUGGGCUAGCAC